rnacentral:rRNA from 1 species
GACGGAGGAUGCAAGCGUUAUCCGGAAUGAUUGGGCGUAAAGCGUCUGCAGGUGGCAGUUCAAGUCUGCUGUCAAAGACCGGGGCUUAACUUCGGAAAGGCAGUGGAAACUGAACAGCUAGAGUAUGGUAGGGGCAGAGGGAAUUCCUGGUGUAGUGGUGAAAUGCGUAGAGAUCAGGAAGAACACCGGUGGCGAAGGCGGUCUGCUGGGCAGUUGCUGACACUGAGGCGCGACAGCGUGGGGAGCAAACAGG